rnacentral:rRNA from 1 species
UGCGUAGGUGGGCUAGUAAGUCAGUGGUGAAAUCUCCGGGCUUAACCCGGAAACUGCCAUUGAUACUAUUAGUCUUGAAUGUCGUGGAGGUAAGCGGAAUAUGUCAUGUAGCGGUGAAAUGCUUAGAUAUGACAUAGAACACCGAUAGCGUAGGCAGCUUGCUACACGAAUAUUGACACUGAGGCACGAAAGCGUGGGGAUCAAACAGGAUUAGAUACCCUGGUAGUCCACGCCCUAAACGAUGGAUACUCGACAUCAGCGAUACACUGUUGGUGUCUGAGCGAAAGCAUUAAGUAUCCCACCUGGGAAGUACGACCGCAAGGUUGAA